rnacentral:lncRNA from 1 species
AAUUCAGUAACUCCAUUUUUGACAAGUGUGAAUUCAAGCCCAGAAACCAUCCAUACAUUGUCUCACCCGUACCCACAUAUAAAUUCAACCACGGGUAUUGAUCAAGCGGUGGCAAAUCUGGGUAAUUUGAGGAACAAAGUAUCAUUAGCGGCUACUAAAGUGCGGAAAUCAAAGUUGAGUAUAAUAUCUUUGGAUUCUUCUGCUCUAAAAGUUAGCGGUGGAGGAGGAGGCAUCGGUCGUAGCAGACCAUGUUAAGCCGGGUACAGGGGACCAACAUGAAACACCAUGGGUCAGCCUAUUUGUUGGUAAUCCUGUCGCUACAAAUGGUAUGUCCCUUGCUUAUAUUACAUUGGAGUUAGUAUAUAGUAAGGUCGUUGUGAAAUUGGAUAAAACUGAAUUUGAAAAGAGAGAACAAAAAUGGAAAAAUUCGUUGGCGUUAUUUAUGCUUGGGGAGCUGCCAGGUUAUAAAUUAUAUGAAGCGGUA